ACAGUCCCCCUCUGACUCCCAAUUCACGAUCACAGCUGUAUUCAAGGCUGACCUUGUCUAAGCUGGCAUAAGCAUCAAAGGGAUAAGAGGAGGACAGGGGAAUGGGGCACGUGUCUGCGGGGUGAGUCUCCAAUGAAUGGCUGACAGUGGUAAACAGCCUUUCAGCACUGCUUCUGCAAGGGUCAUCCUUAUUUGUGAAACAGUCAUCUGCAGCUUACAGUCUGAAAAUGAAGCUAUUUCCUGAAACCGUUCUCAGCAGUGAGGCAAGUUGGUCACCUAGACAAGCAGAUUCUCUGAAGCCAAUGAAUUGAUGUACAUCAGGAGAGUAGAAGCCUUCUCUGCAAGUGAUUUCCAUACCAAAUUAUUCCCCCUCGCCAGACAGUGCGAGAAAAUGGAAUCAGGCGAGAAAGGGAACAGAUCAGCAUGAAGCCGAUGUGGAAGGAAGCACCUGUGUGCAACACAGCCUUUUCACCCCGCAGCCUUCACCAGGACCUUCUCCACGACUGCAGCAGGAUGUCUAUUCAAGGGGUAUGGAGUACGGGAAGAGUGCAAGCCAAGAGAAGUACGGUCUUAUUGUUUUAACAGCUGACACCUACAAAUGCAGAUUUGAAUCACUGAAACAUGUAGAACUUAAGUCUCAAGACUGGGUGCUGCGGUGUGUUAAACGGGACAGAAAGUCACCUGUAUUACACCUUUGGCAACAGAAAGGUUACUUCUAACAGUGGAGGGAUGUGCACAGUUUAUUUUUAUCUCACGUGUUGCAUGCAAAUUGCCCCUGUCUACAGUACAGUGUGCAUACAAAGUUUGCUGAGGUGUCCAAACUAGAUUCACUGUGAGUACUUCUCCAGUAUAUGCAAUUAAAAUGUAAUUCAUUUCUAGAUAUCAUCAAUAUUCUGUCACGGUGUAAGGGGAAUGGACUAGAUGACCCAUGAAGUCUAUUCCUACCCCCAUAUCUAUUAUUAUUAUCUCAUAUUAGUAAAAUUACAUUUUGAGGUCACUUAUAUGUGCUGAUUCCCUUUACACAAAUAGUUGGCAUUUAUGAGUUGCUCGUGUCCAUUUCUUCAUGUUCUAUUUAUAAGGGAUUAAGUACAGGUAGAACAUCAAAUGUAGGAAAAACCUGAUGUUUUGUAGUAAAUAAUUCAUAAAACAAUGUUGUGACCCUUACUCCCCGUGAGUCAUCCACAUAAUGAGCCACCCAAAUGAAGCAGUGAAAACAUUCACUUCCCCUGCCAUGGGUGUGCCCUGACGGGCUCCUCAGGGUCAGAAACCCAUCCAUCUCUUUUCACACACGAGCUAAUCAAUUCAAAGAGGGAAGUGCCAAUGAGCUAUUGGAUCAAUAUGGUGAAGUAUGGAGAUUGAUCUUAUCCCAGAGUGCCUGCAUUAACAGACUCGUUAGUGUGACCUCUGCCCUCAGGCACGCAUUAUACAGGAUUGCAAGUCUGCUAUCAGAAUGAAGACCUCAGGUCAUUGCUUUUAAUAAUCUGCUUUGCUGAAAGAAUUAAAAGUAAAUCUGCAAAGGGAUGACUAAUGAAAACACAGAGUGCUUUCUUCUCCUCUCAUCUUGGAAUGCUUGCAAAAAUCGGGCCAGCUUUUCACAUCUCCCACCAGCAUCAUCAGUCUGGCACAGGGCCUGCUAGGCCGCGACAGGCUAAAAUCUGCUGAGGGCAUGUUAGUACAACCAGUGGUAUUUUGCUUUCCUGACAC
rnacentral:lncRNA from 7 species